CUGCAGUGCUGCCACGGCCGCACGGGUUCGAGAGUUUGAUUCUGCAGAUCAGUUGGGCACCCCAGAUGGGACACUCUCUGUUUGGCUGCAGGACCAGUUGAGGAGGGAGACGCCUUUGGCGCGCCCCGAGAAUUCUUGGAAGGACUCCCCCUGCUCAUCCGAUCACUGCGGGGACAGACGGGGACCAUGUGGAAGCGGAACAGAUAAAAGGCUGGUGAUGUUUCUUACUGGUGCUUAAAAACAAACACUCCAAAGCCCACGGAAAGAUCACCACCUCCAACCACAAAGCUACCAGAGGAACUGUAGAGCAUAACAGCUUCUAUAGCUACUGCUAUUGGAGCACUUUGAUCUGAAGGGCCUGCAAAGACAAUCACUCAAUCUGUCAGGCCUCCCCUGCCUCAUUUCCAACCUUCCCCUCAGCAAGCAGCUUUCUACCUCAGUCUUUAGUUUCUGAAAAAUCCUCAAGUGUGGCAUUCCAAAUCUGCCAACUCUGGUAUUCUUGAGCAACUCCAUCCUGUAAAGGCCCACCUUACUGCCUUUCCAACCUGUGCACUGAAUUGCAAUGACAUGUCAGUAUCAGAUCCCUCAGCACUGUGCUGAGCCUCACCUUACUCAUACUCACCCACUGGACGUUACUCAGCUUCAGCAAUCGUGUUUCUGCUACAGAAGGGCUUGCCGGAUAUCUGUAGUAUUGAUCUGGCCCGAAGGUGACAACCUUCCAACCUGCUGGUCUCUGCCCAUGUUCUCUGUCACAACAUCGGAUGUGUGUGCUCGCUGGAUGCACUGGUAAGAAAUGUUUUUGAGAAGAGAACCUCGUGCUUCCCAGAGCAGUAAGACUGUGAGGAUUUGGGAGGCUCUUCACAAACCUGGUUAGAGUGUGCUUUCCCAGACGGCGUGCUGUUAAAGCAGCCUUUCUCAAAAGCAAAGCGUUGUGCCUGGUGUGACUUAAAUCCCACCCACAAAGGAGCAUUCCCUGCAGUCUCUGAUCUCAGGACUGGAGGGGGAGCUUUUCUUCACACCUUGCUGUGUAUGAAACUUGAACUACACUCGAGAAGGGCAGAAAUGUAGCUGACCAGAGCCUCCAACAGCUCAGCCUUUUUCUUCAAACUAUGAAGAAGGCUUUAAUAUUCGGAUUGCUGUCCUGGCCCAGAGCUCUGUUCCCUCAUGGGCUGCACUCGUUUUGCUAUCCCACCAUUUGGGUUGCACAGGCCAUCCACGUCCAGUGUUCCCAUCCUCCUGGGCCUCCACACACAUGGCAGUUAGCAAGAAAGAGCAAAGUUGUUCCACCUUGUCCUAAAGUUAUCAAUCUGUUCAUCCAACCUGUGCCUUGGUCACAGUGGCAGCGUGCCGUUAGCAAUGCCAUCACUGCACUCAGGUCACAAGCUCUGACAGCAGGCACUGGGGAUAAUUUCAGGUGAGGCCGUUCUUCACAUCCAGGCACACGGAUGGUAUGUUUUUCCAAAUGGACCGUGCUGGUAGGCGGGUAAAUCCAGUCGUGCAGGAUCUGCAAAAUAAAAUUAUGUACUACGUACAUAGUUUUCCAGAGUGGUGGUGAUGUGAGGUGGAUCUCCUUUUCUCACAAUUGUUUUUAAAACUGACAAUAUCAGUAAUUGUUCUGUCAUGGGUUUGAAUUAAAUCUUGGAUUUAAUUAAAUCUUGUUCACCGCUGUUGAACGGAAUUUGAUUCAUCCUUGAUAAUCUGCAUCCAUUACUCCUCUCGUGACAUGAGUUUUCUUCCUCCAAAACCCAGGGGAACCUUUUUCUUUCCAUGUUUUUGCCAGAAGCUCCAAUUGGCAAGUGCUCCAUUUGCAGACAUGUUUAACUCUGUUUCUGCUUUUUGCAUGGGCCCUAAGUCUGAGGCCCUUUGAAGAGCCUUUGUUGCUAAUUCAAAGGCAACCUGCUGUUUGUUUCCCCCUCCAACUCUUCCUUGUCACUUUGUAUAUAAACAACAGGGUUAAAAUUUGUCCUACGUAUGGAACGUGCUGUCUCCAAAAACCAAACAGCCCAAUACACUGCUGUGCCUCGUUCUUAUUACAGGGUACUGCCAAGUCUAAAACGUUGUGUUGAGUUUUGAGUAGUAUUCCCCAAUGCCCAAAAUGCCUCUGAAUUCCUAAAAAUGUCACUUUUUGAAUUUCAGUAGGAUGAAUUUCCCAGCCUUUCUGUUUCAUCUGAUCCACAACCAAUUCCAGCAUUUGUUGCACCCCUUCCUCGGUUUCCCUGAGUCAGGACGUCAUCUACAUAAUGAACUGUUUGCAUGUGAGGAGGCAGUUUGGUGUCAUGCAGAUGUUCAGCCACAGUUCUGUGGCAGAUGGUUGGGCUGUGCAGCCGUCCCUGAGGCCAUCUACAGACAGGAUCUUGUCACCUCUGCCACGGGAAGGCGUUCCUCUGCAGUCAGGACUGUGAAGAAGCUAGCAUUAGCUAAAUCAAUUACAGCAUGCCCUGCUCUGGAAUGGUUCUGAGCUUUUUCUGUUAAAGCAACACUACCUGCUGCAGCUGCUGUGAGAGGCGGGGUGAGCUUGUUUAAUUCCUCCCACAACCCACCGCUUUUUGACAGGCCAUGUUGGAUUGUUCCGAGCUGUAGUAGCUGACUUAAAACUCCUGCACCCAAUAAAUCAUUAAUUGUCCUUGAUAUCUCUUCAUGCUCCCCCCCCCCCCAGGUCCUGUACUGUUUCACUGUCACUACUUCAGUUGCAGCAGGAAUCUGCACAGCAGGCAUUGUUACUUUUCCCACUGAAAUUGUUGGAGCACGAAUGCAAUUCCUUAUUCCAAACUGGGGCUGAGCACUGGGGAGAUUCAGUGUUAGUCAUUUUAGAAUGCCCAUCCCUGCGAUGUAUUCUGGGGCGGGGACAGUCAUCACAGGAUGCAGUCGUUGUGGGGGGUUUCCUAUUCUCAUUUCUAUUUGUGUUUGUACAGCUUCAGGUUGUUUCCCUCCCAACCCUAUAAUAGCUACCAGUUGUCCUUCACGUUUCUUGGGGUUCCCAUAUGUUAAGGAGGCCUCUGCUCCGGGGUCAUUUAAGGCUCUUACAGUUUGUGAGGACCCGUUUUUCCAAAAUAUUUGGAGCUCCACGAGGGGUUGUUGGUCCUGCACCUGUUGCAUUGGAGCUUGGCCAUCGUUUCAUUCUUGUCUUUACGUGGAGCUGCUUCCCUAGCCUCCUUCCAAGUAUACAAACUGGAGCAUGGUUCCCAGUCCUUUUCCCCCAGAGCAGCUGAUCCUCUCGCGUUGGGCCCUGUGAGCAGAUGAGAUUCCCAUUGAGGCUCUCAAGGGAGUGCAGUAGCUGGAAUUGUUCCUGGACCGUUUGCUUUAGAAUGUGGCAUUUUCUUGCUAGGUUUCUUAACCCCUCUGUUUAUGUAUCCUCUGUAAUUCAGGAAUUGGGAAACCAUCCAUCUUACUGUGAGGCAUCCUGUCUUGUAAUAAAGCUGUAAACACUUA